rnacentral:rRNA from 1 species
AUUGAACGCUGGCGGCAUGCUUUACACAUGCAAGUCGAGCGGCAGCGCGGGACUCAGGCAACUGAGCCCUGGCGGCGAGCGGCGAACGGGUGAGUAAUACAUCGGAACGUACCCAGGAGUGGGGGAUAGCCCGGCGAAAGCCGGAUUAAUACCGCAUACGAUCUUUGGAUGAAAGUGGGGGACCUGCAAGGGCCUCACGCUUUUGGAGCGGCCGAUGUCCGAUAGCUAGUUGGUGGGGUAAAGGCCUACCAAGGCGACGAUCGGUAGCUGGUCUGAGAGGAUGAUCAGCCACACUGGGACUGAGACACGGCCCAGACUCCUACGGGAGGCAGCAGUGGGGAAUUUUGCGCUAAUGCGGGAAACCGUGACGCAGCGACGCCGCGUGAGGGAAGAAGG